rnacentral:rRNA from 1 species
AUGAAACGGAUUGGGGCAGGCGAGCGGUCGUAUCCUUCAUCACAAUGGAGGUGUAUAAGAAACUGGUGGAGACCUCCAGCAACAGUCCUCCCUUUAAAUAAUGUUCUACAGAAAUUUGUGCCGGCGCCUCUGCUCGAGAUCUGCAAGCUGGGACGUGCUUCUUCUCCAGAUUCAUUAUUUUCCCUACUGAUAAGUCAACGCGAGUUGAAUAACCCCACCACCAUCGUCGCUCAUCUCCUUCCGGUGCGACCCGUGUCGAAAGGGGCAGAUUGGAGCCCUCGCCGCCACCACCGUGUCGCCGUGGACGCAUGCUCGGAGAAUCUGAAUGCCUCUACAGAAUCGAAGGUGGUUGGAUUUAAUAGGAGGAAGCAAAAUGGUAAUGGAAUUCCUAGACAUGUGUUUCCGAGGGAGGCAGGGCAAAUGAUCUAG